AAUUAAAUUUUAAAUAUUUUUAUGAUAAAAAAUUUAAUAUUAUGUCAUAAUACAUCUUUUAGAUGAGAAAAGAUACGGCAAUAGUAUAUUUUUAUGGUGGAAACUCAAUAAUUUAACUGAUUUGACUAAAUUUUCAUUUAACGGCGAAAUCAAAAGCACCUGAGUUUUGGUCAUAUUUCUAUCAUGUUUCAACACAAAUUUAAUAACGGUAACGGAAUAAGCCACGAACCAUAAAUCAUUAAAUCCCCACCUGAUGACCUGAAAACAAUAAUUUUAAAUAAAUCUCAUAAUGAUCUCUAAGAUUCACAUAAUUAUCCGAUUUAGUUCUCGAGAUUCUAAUUUUCCUAUAGUGGUCCCUUAGAUAAAGUUCAGGACACCAUAGUGGUCCUGUUAUCGUUUCCGGUGAUGAGUUAGCAGUUGCCAAAAUGUUGUCAGUUUUAGUUUGGCGCCCACUUUUGGCAAGUACGACGCCAUUCAAGUCAAAUUAAGCAUGUAAAACGGGUUUGAUCAAACACCCUCAUUUCACUCGUCUUCUCCACUUUCACCCGUCCUUUUCUUCUUUUUUUUUUCCUCCUCUAUUCAUUAAUGGCGCUGCCGUAAAGUUCCGUUGGUAGGGUUAAAAUUCUUGCGUCAGAAAGACAUUUGAAUCAGGUCUCACUUCGUCGUUUGUCUCCUCCAUCAUAAGCAAGAGAGCAGCCAUUGGAUCCGAUGGAACUCCCCAUGUUAGUGCUAUCAUCUCCUAUCAUGGUUUCUGAAUAUCAACAUUAAUCAUCGAUGAAGUAAAAAAAGAUGAUAAAAAAGAAAAAAAAUGAGGAGAUGAAAUGCACAACAUAAGCGCUAUAUUAGGGAUUAGGGUUAUAUAUUGAGCUCGGUACCAAAUUGGAAAUAAAUUGGAUUUAAGCCAUGUCACCGAAUAGGAACUACUAUGGUGUCCAGAGAUGUAUCUCUGGGAGA